GUCGCGCAUCGCCUAACGUAGCUUCGUAACUGCGAACGGGGCAUUACGGAAGCCGGUGCGAGUCCGGCGCGGCCCCGCCACUGUAACGGGCAGUUCGUCGUCGGCUCACAGCCACUGGGCAACCGGGAAGGCGAGCCGACCGCCCGAAGCCAGGAGACGUCUCCGUUCGCGCCACCUCGC
rfam:Gemmatimonadetes bacterium 13_1_40CM_4_69_5 13_1_40cm_4_scaffold_13629, whole genome shotgun sequence.